rnacentral:tRNA from 1 species
GCCCCUGUAGACCAAUAGGCAGAGUCGGCAGUCUUAGACACUGUGCGUUGGAGGUUCGAGUCCUCUCAGGGGUACCC